AUUGGUUCACAUUCAUUUGUGAUGAAAAGGGAACCGGGUGAGAGUCCCGGACAGUCCCGCUGCUGUGAGUCGUCCUUUCGUGCCUGCAACAUCGUGCCACUGGCUCCACCUGCCGGGAAGGCGAUGCAGACACGACGACAAAGUCAGAAGACCUGCCGUUGCUUU
rnacentral:ncRNA from 1 species